rnacentral:lncRNA from 1 species
GUGUCGAGGCAACGACUGUAAGGCUUUCUGCAAAGGCUUCAAUUGCAAAGUGAUGUGUUUAGGAGUACCCUGCGACAAACAAGAGAUAUUUUGGUGACACCAGCUGUUUAGUUUAGU